rnacentral:sRNA from 1 species
AUUGAAUUAGCAACAACACUUGGGAUUGAAGUGCUAAAUUGAAAAUGGCACUUUUCUGGCACUUUUUGAGCAAAAAAAGGUGAUAAAAUGUUAUUAGUGAGAAGUGAAGAUGAUUACAAAAAUAAAAUCUUAUAUUGAGUCUGCGCUCCACUUCUCAUUAAGUAUUAAAAGUGAUUUGUUAAAUCUUGAGCAAUAUUUUUAUGUUUGUUAAAAUAAAAGCGAACAAAAAUAAAAAUAUUGGAGGGAUUUUAAUGAAUGAAAAAGAAAAAAUUGAUUUUG